UUUUGAGAAGCACAGUCUAAGAGAACCUAAAACCAUAACACGUAUCAAUGAAUGACCAGAAAGUGAAAUAAGAUCAUUCCAACUUUGUUUCAGAUUUGCAUGAUAUUUUUUUCAUUUUGAAGAAACCGACGUCCUGCCAACACUGAACCUAAAACCAUACUUAUUCCAGAAGAUGAGGCUGCAUUCUCAAAUGUGUAAAAGAGCAGCAAACAAGAAGUGCCAAGAUGCAGAAGCCACGUUUCCCCUUUUAAACUCAUUUGUCUACGUGCGAAGAGGUUGAGACCUCCAGAAGUUGAAUCCGUGGCAGCCUCACAGGGCACCCAUUCCCCAUGUGUCCCUACACUGGACCAAGAAUGUGAGAGAAGCACAACCCUCUGGCAUGUUCUCUAUCCAGGACGUCCUAAGGACCCUCAUUCUCACUGAUGGACUGUGGCUUCUUGUAGUACACAGAUGCAACUGACUCAAGAGAAUUCCCCAAGGGUUUUGUGAUAGAAUAUUAGUCUGAUGGAGAAGAUUCCAUAAACAUGUCAUCUAGCACCAUGCUAGGCUCUGAGAGGAACACCGUGUUCAAGAUACCUACCCUUCAGGGAUCCUCCCAUUGCAGCGAAGAACACCCAUGAUCAACACAUCAUCAACAAAAUCAUUCCACAGAGCAGAUGGGUCGAGUCACAUGGAAAAGUCGCUUGGAGGCAGCAGGGAAGGGCAGCCUUUAUCUGAAUUUUCUGUUUAAUAUUUUUGGUGGAGAUUGGCCGUGGAUAACUGAAACUGCAGAAAGCAAAACCGUGGAUAAAGGGGAGGGCUGUACGCAGCCAUGAUCUACGUGAUGGAAAACGGGGCCAGACCUAGACGGAUAUGUGGUGUGCUGCAAGCUGCAGUCUGAUUGAAAGCCAGCCCGGCAUGAUGCAACCGCAGAUGGAAGGAGAGGUUCUGUCCCUGUUCUUGGCAGGGUACGUAGAAUUGGUCACGGGUGGCACUGGGUCUCAGAUAGAAAUCUGAUGGCUCCAGUGUUUCACAUUUGCAUUCUCUCUGGCUUGAGCACUCCCAUAAUUUUAAUAGGGAAGAUUUAAGAACCCAUUUUGCCACAUAUCUCCACUGGAUAAUGGAAAGACAUGGAGGGCUGGGUGCAGUGACUCACACCUGUAAUCCCAGCACUUUGGGAGGCCGAGGUGGGAGGAUCACUUGAGCCCAGGAGUUUGAGACUGGCCUGGGCAACAUAGUGAGACCCUGUC
rnacentral:lncRNA from 13 species